GAUYGCGGCGACGUUGGCGGUCCGCUGCCGACGACGUCGCGAGAAGUCCAMUGAACCUUAUCAUUUAGAGGAAGGAGAAGUCGUAACAAGGUUUCSGUAGGUGAACCUGMGGAAGGAUCAUUGCCGCC
rnacentral:rRNA from 1 species